rnacentral:antisense_RNA from 1 species
UUCUAUGGCGGUUCAGGCAGGGGAGGCUAUGCCUCGCUGGAGUAAGCGCCAGUCUGCAAACCCUGUCUGAAUCGCCACCAUC